UUUUCUUCAGCAACAUUGUUUCCUCUACCGCAAUUUAGUUACCGUUCCGUUUAGAGUUUCCAUUUUCCCUUUCCCUUUCCGUUUUUGAUUUAGCCAAAGUAGUAGUUUCGUACAGUGAGGAACUACUGCAAUUUAUUUAAUUUAGUUUAAGCAAUUAUUUCGAAGAGGCAGCAUCCUACCGACCGUGGAGGACUGCUCAAGUACUUCAAGAUUCGGCGUAUUCUAUUAAUCCAAUUUCCAGGUUUUUAUUCA
rnacentral:lncRNA from 1 species